AUUGAACGCUGGCGGCAGGCCUAACACAUGCAAGUCGAACGAGAGGCGGACGGGUGAGUAAUGUCGUGGAAACUGCCUGAUGGAGGGGGAUAACUACUGGAAACGGUAGCUAAUACCGCAUACCAUCAGAUGUGCCCAGAUGGGAUUAGCUAGUAGGUGGGGUAACGGCUCACCAAGGCGACGAUCCCUAGCUGGUCUGAGAGGAGGACCAGCCACACUGGGACUGAGACACGGUCCAGACUCCUACGGGAGGCAGCAGUGGGGAAUAUUGGACAAUGGGCGCAAGCCUGAUCCAGCCAUGCCGCGUGUAUGAAGAAGGCCGUCGGGUUGUAAAGUACUUUUAGCGGGGAGGCGGUACCCGCCGAAGAAGCACCGGCUAACUCCGUGCCAGCAGCCGCGGUAAUAC
rnacentral:rRNA from 1 species